UAUUUCUCAGACUUCUGGAGACUUAAAAGC
rnacentral:piRNA from 1 species